GGAGAGUGCGGUUUUCGUAGGGAGCCUUCAGUGCAGAUCGAGAGAUAUCUGCAGGCUGUGAUUGGAGGAUAUUCUCUUUUCACAUGCCUGAUGUUGACUGGGGAGGUAUAUGUGCACUCAUGCAGAAGAAGUAGGAGUUUCGACAUCGAAUUUAGCAUUUGGAGAAGCUGAUCCGAAGUCCGGUGUUGGCAGUGUGUGAUCGACAACCCUUGUUUUGCCUCGCUGCGCUUUAUUACCUUGUAGAAGUUGUGGAACUUGGACAUGUAGGUACAGUUCUACUACACCAAAUCAGUACCAGUUUGGAGAGUGCGGU